GACGAACGCUGGCGGCGUGCUUAACACAUGCAAGUCGAGCGGUAAGGCCCUUUCGGGGUACACGAGCGGCGAACGGUGAGUAACACGUGGGUGACCUGCCCUCAGCUCUGGGAGUAAGCCUGGGAAACUGGGUCUAAUACUGGAUAUGACUCCACGGUGCAUGUCGUGGGGUGGAAAGCCUUGUGCGGCUGAGGAUGGGCCCGCGGCCUAUCAGCUUGUUGGUGGGGUGANGGCCCUACCAAGGCGACGACGGGUAGCCGGCCUGAGAGGGCGACCGGCCACACUGGGACUGAGACACGGCCCAGACUCCUACGGGAGGCAGCAGUGGGGAAUCUUGCGCAAUGGGCGAAAGCCUGACGCAGCGACGCCGCGUGAGGGAUGACGGCCUCGG
rnacentral:rRNA from 1 species